UCUCCCCCCCCCGGGCGGUAGAGGUAACGCUCUCACGCGCCACACGUCCCAAUCCUUUCUUUACGAGCACCUUUCGUUCUCCUUCGGCGGGGUAACCUGCCGCUGGAACCCAUCAAAACUCUUUUUUUGCAUCUAGCAUUACCUGUUCUGAUACCAACAAUCGUUACAACUUUCAACAAUGGAUCUCUUGGCUCUGGCAUCGAUGAAGAACGCAGCGAAAUGCGAUAAGUAGUGUGAAUUGCAGAAUUCAGUGAAUCAUCGAAUCUUUGAACGCACAUUGCGCCCCCUGGUAUUCCAUGGGGCAUGCCUGUUCGAGCGUCAUCUACACCCUCAAGCUCUGCUUGGUGUUGGGCGUCUGUCCCGCCUCCGCGCGUGGACUCGCCCCAAAUUCAUUGGCAGCGGUCCUUGCCUCCUCUCGCGCAGCACGAAUGCGCUUCUCGAGGUGCGCGGCCCGCGUCCACGAAGCAACACAACCGUCUUUGACCUCGGAUCAGGUAGGGA
rnacentral:rRNA from 1 species